UACGUAGGCAGCAAGCGUUGUUCGGAGUUACUGGGCGUAAAGGGUGUGUAGGCGGUUUUCUAAGUCUGGUGUGAAAUCUCCCGGCUCAACUGGGAGGGUGCGCCGAAAACUGGAAGGCUAGAGUGCGGGAUGGGAGAGUGGAAUUCCUGGUGUAGCGGUGAAAUGCGUAGAUAUCAGGAGGAACACCUGUGGUGUAGACGGCUCUCUGGACCGCAACUGACGCUGAGACACGAAAGCUAGGGGAGCGAACGGG
rnacentral:rRNA from 1 species